rnacentral:rRNA from 1 species
AGUGAACGCUGGCGGUAGGCCUAACACAUGCAAGUCGAACGGCAGCACAGUAAGCGCUUGCUCUUACGGGUGGCGAGUGGCGGACGGGUGAGGAAUACAUCGGAAUCUACUUUUUCGUGGGGGAUAACGUAGGGAAACUUACGCUAAUACCGCAUACGACCUACGGGUGAAAUCAGGGGAUCUUCGGACCUUUCGCGAUUGAAUGAGCCGAUGUCGGAUUAGCUAGUUGGUGGGGUAAAGGCCCACCAAGGCGACGAUCCGUAGCUGGUCUGAGAGGAUGAUCGGCCACACUGGAACUGAGACACGGUCCAGACUCCUACGGGAGGCAGCAGUGGGGAAUAUUGGACAAUGGGCGCAAGCCUGAUCCAGCCAUACCGCGUGGGUGAAGAAGGCCUUCGGGUUGUAAAGCCCUUUUGUUGGGAAAGAAAAGCAGCAGGUUAAUACCCCGCUGUUCUGACGGUACCCAAAGAAUAAGCACCGGCUAACUUCGUG